rnacentral:rRNA from 1 species
GCUUGUCUCAAAGAUUAAGCCAUGCAUGUCUAAGUAUAAACGACUUUAUACUGUGAAACUGCGAAUGGCUCAUUAUAUCAGUUAUAGUUUAUUUGAUGGUCCUUGCUACUUGGAUAACCGUAGUAAUUCUAGAGCUAAUACAUGCAUCAAUCCCUGACUUCUGGAAAGGGUGUAUUUAUUAGAUGGAAACCAAUUCGGGCAACCGGUUUUUGGUGACUCAUAAUAACUUUCGGAUCGACAGCAAUGUCGAUGCAUCAUUCAAGUUUCUGCCCUAUCAGCUGUGGAUGGUAGGGUAUUGGCCUACCAUGGCUUUAACGGGUAACGGAGAAUUAGGGUUCGAUUCCGGAGAGGGAGCCUGAGAAAUGGCUACCACAUCCAAGGAAGGCAGCAGG